rnacentral:misc_RNA from 1 species
UUCAGCAGUGAAUUCAAGGGACGUAAUCGAUCGAUUCUCUUUAAUUUCCUCCACUUUUUCUCAUCGAAAAUAUUUUCCAUUAAUUUUUAAAUCGAUAUUUUCUUUUAAUUAACCGUUCAAUUAGUCCUGUGUUGUUGUAAUGUAGCCUACAAGUUGUAAUAUCGUUGGUGUAAAAAUAUUUCUUAUCUAAAACCCAUAUUUUUCAAAUGCAAACAUUGUUUUCAAAAGCGUUAUUGAUUUUCAUAAAAGAAAGGAUGGAAUCAUUGAUAGAAGACAAAAAAGAAAAAUCUGGUGACCCUCACCUAUGAAUAUCUCGAAAUUAAUAUCCAACUUUUAUUUAGCAAACUUCAAUAAACUCUAUCUUUCGUUACCACCCUGGCUAGAAAGCCUCUCCCCUCAGAUAUCUUUCUUUCUUCUCUUGCCGCACGUUACUCACAAUAGACAUUGUCAGCUUUCUAUUAUACUUAAACCUAUUAUUUAUUGCAAGGUGCUCCGGCGUUUAAACUUAACUUUUACACAAUUUCGCUGACGCUUAAAAGGGGGGAAAGUUUGUUUUGUUUUUAACGGCAAUAUAAUAAUAAAUUUUUAUGUAAAGGUGAAAAUGUCAUCAAAAUACUUCUAUGACCCACAACUUCUAAUCAAUGAGAAGAAAUUGUAAAAAGAAAAGAAAAAAAACGUUUUUAUCUAAAAUAAGAACAGGAUAAAGAAACCGGAAAUAAUUAUAAACCUUAUUUUCGAUGAAUUCCUAAUUGGCGAGAGGGAGUGCUCUGUCCAAAAGGCUAUUAAUAGUUGAGUGGUGGAAAAUUAAGUUUCCAUAAUCAUUGCACAUCAAAUAUUUCCACUAUCCCUUAGUGCAAGACUUUCCUUCCCUAAACGAAUAUUCUUAAACCCUUUUUUUUUUUUCUUUUUAUAAGUCAUUACCGUCUUAUUGGUAAAAUAUUAGCAUCCUUAAACCGAAGAAUUCUAAAAAAAAAUUCCCUGGUAAGUUUCUUAUUGAAAAUCCUGAGCCAACAGGUUCUAAAUCUUUACCACCAGAUCCCCCCUUGGAGUAAAACCAUGAAAAAAAAAUCCCAAUCAUUUUAAACAGACUGGCUUUGAAUAUCAGUCUAUGAGAUAAUGGUCAUCUUUGUCUUUUAGUGGAAACUGGACUUUAGCAUAUGUUUGCAUUGGUCUUUCCAAUCUAAUUACAGUCAGGCACUUAGCACAUUUAGGAGGAGUACUUUUUUUUUUUUUUUACAAAUAAACAAAAUUUAGAAAUAAUUAUUUUAUUUUUAAUUAUUAUGCUAAGGAAGGACUUAAUUUUUCUCGACAUAAUAUCGGUGUUGUAUUUGCAGAAUUUCCUUGAAAUUUUCCUACAGUUUCCUAUAAUUUCACCUGAUGUAAGAUUUUCGUGCGCCUGUAUGUAAAUAUAAAGUAUACAUCAUAUAUAUAUAUAUAUAUAUAUAUACACAUACAUACACAUAUAUACACACACACACAUAUUCCCGACGCGCACACAGACACAGCCGUGUAUAUUGCAGGAAGAAGUCCGCGAUAAUUCCUGAAAGCGUGGAACAAUUGAAAGUAGUUUUGUAUUUACUGUUAUUCUUAAUUCUGUUGAUCACAUUUUCUGUUUUUGAAUUUUGUGGUGUUCCUGAAUUCAUUCUAAGUGCAUCAAACGAAAAUCCAUAAAAUAAGUCUUUUAGUUUCAAAAGAGAUAUAUGUUUAAGAACCUGGCUAAAGCAUAUAAAAUCGUAUGUAUUGUUAAUUAUAACUGCUUUCAGAAAUAAAUUACGGAAAAUUCACAGGUCAGACAAGAGUGCACAAGACAGAGUUUCUUUGGUGAUGCACCAACCCUGCCGCCUGCAUCCAAGCAAGGUAAUAACCUCCCAGUCUUUUCAACAACAAACAACCAGGAUAUGGUUUGUGUGCUGAACUGGAAACAAACCUCACUGUAUGAAUGAGCCUUUUGUUAACAAAGAUUGCACAACAUGUCAAGAAGUGGACUGCAAGCACAGGACACUGUCUGUAUGAAGAAUGAGACUUGUUUAAUCAGUGGCCCAGCACAACAAUGGCAGGAGAUAGAAACUCUCUCACACAAAUGCUUAUCCAUGUGUGACAUUGAUGAACAUGAAAAUCUCAGUGUAGCAUAAGCUUAACCCUUUUGUUGCCAUAUUUCUGUUGAGAUGCUCUGUGUUUCUUUCAAUUAAUUUUAAAUAUAACAAAGAAUUUAGUAAAAUAACUUAGCUAUCAUUAAACUAGUGUUGGGAACAUAAAUUGUGACUAAGGUUUGGUGGAAAAUUUUAAUUCAAAUCUUAGGAAAACAAGACAUUUCUACUCAGAGCCAGACCCGGUUUCAGCUUGGUUAGUAACGAAAGGGUUAAUAUUUGUUACAAUUCUUUCGGCACUGCUCCACUUGGAACCAUAUUACACUUAAAUAAUUAUGUGUGACAAGUUAUACAAGACUUCUAUGAAUUUACCUAUUAUUAACAUAGGAAGAGUGGGGAAUAUAUAUAUAUACACGCACACGUGUGCAUUCAGUCGUGGCUGUAUAGUAAGAAGUUCGCUUUCCAAUCACAAAGAUUUGGGUUCAGUCCCUUUGUGUGGC